GUCUCUGUGGCGCAGUUGGUUAGCGCGUUCGGCUGUUAACCGAAAGGUUGGUGGUUCAAGCCCACCCAGGGACG
rnacentral:tRNA from 1 species